rnacentral:tRNA from 1 species
GAGGAUAUAGCUCAAGUGGUAGAGUGUGUGCUUAGCAUGCAUGAGGUCCUGGGUUCAAUCCCCAGAACCUCU